AAACAUAAGAGGUAGUGAGAGAAAGUGGAUCAAGAGGAUAGAAGAGGAAGCUAAAGAAAGAGAGAGAGGUUGGGGUUUGAAGAGCUAGUAGCUAAACUGAAGCCAAAAUUAUGAUUCUUGAAGACUAAAGGUAAGGGAGAUGGUUUCCUUUCAUAGCUAAGUUAUAAUCUAUUAUUUUCAAUUAUGGGUUUAAGUGCUUUUAUGUUUAUUGUGACUUUUGUGAUUUUUGAAUGAUGAAAUUUGUGCUCCUAAUUCAAGUGAAUUUGUGAGUAUGAUAAACUUCAUGAAAUUGUUGUGUUAUGUGCUUAAACUUCAUAGUUGUUGUUGUUGUUAAGUGAUUUUGAUGAUUUUUGUUUAUUUGAGUGUAAAUCGUGAAUUUGUGAGUGAUUGUUGUUGAAACAUGUUUAAAUUCACUUCAUGAAUAUUUGUUUAUGUUUGUAUGUUGAUGGGGUUUGAAUUGGUGUGGUUGUUUGUGAAGUUUGAAUGAAAAAUGAACAUAAUGAUGAUUUUGGUAAAAAUUGAUGUUAUGAUUCCAUGUUGGUUGUUGUUUUGAUUAUCUUUUUAUGUAUAUAAACUAAUGUACAAGUUUUGGGAACGAAUUUGGGUCAAAGGGGAUUAAAAACAAGGAUUUUGGGUGAAAAUUGGAGAGUUCCCGAGAGGGAACAACCAAGAACAGGGGACCUGUUCUGGUGUAACUCGUUGUGGUGAGUUGCCCAAUACAAAACCCCAUGUUAGUAUGAGGUUUUGAAUUCAUGUUAGUAUGUAGAAUGUGAAUGAAUCAAUGAUGAUUGAGUGUUUAAUAUGAUGAAUGUCUUGGUGUGGGUUGUUCCCCGUCUUUUAUGUAAAAUGUGAUUGUGAAACUUUAACGUUUCCUUAAAGUGUUAUUUGUUGAUAAUGAACUAUGAUGAUGUUUGGUGAUGAUUAUAAGGAUGUUUGAUGAUUCUUUUGGUGAUUUUAACUUGAUGAUGACUUGUUGAUUGUAUGGAUGUAAAUAUUUGAUAAUACAAAUAUUGGUGAAAAAUAUAAUUCGUGAUGAUUAUUAUGUUAAUAUAGUUUGGUGAGUUGUUCAUUGUCAAGUCCUUACUUGAAGUUCAUGCAUUCAUAAUCAUAUUGAGGUGAUUUGAAGAACAUAAUUGGUGAUGUUUAUUACAUAGUUUCUGCAAAACAUAAUUGGUGAUGUUUAUUAUGUUGGUGUAUUCAUUAACGGUAAAAUUAUCUUCGGAAUCCUAAUGGUACCACAUGCAUCUAGAGAAGAGUAUAGAACAUUGCAUACAUUUGAUAUUGGUGAAAUUGUGUCAUACUUGACUGUGAUUUCGUGAUUAUGUGCAUUUGUGAAACUUGGUGAAUUAUGUGAAAUGUGAUUGAUGAAUUAUACGAAUUUGGUGAUCUAUGUGAUCAGUGAAUAUUGUGAAUUGUAUAGAAAUGUGCACAUGAUAAUGUUUGUUAUUCUUGGUGAUGCUUAUACACUUGGUGAAUCUAUUUGAUGAUAAUUAUUUUGGUAAUAGUAAUGAGGUGAGAAUUAUAUAUAUAUAUAUAUAUAAUUUUCUAACACUUUCACAAAUAGACUCAUACUUUCUAAUUCAUGAAGAUAGUUGCAUUAUCUAGGCUUAUGCUAGGUAUUUGGUGUGUAUACUUGGUGUGUAUCUAAUCAACACACGCUUGUACAAUUAGACCAUACAAUUGGUCAUUGCUUCAUCUUAGGUAUUCUUUUAUGAUCACGAAACUAAAUAAAUAGUGCUUGAACGCAAAUAUAAAGAUAUUAUCCUCAAAAUAUUCAAUCAUUUUUUUUAUUAUCAAUUUUCAUUAUUAUUAAAAAAUGUUUAUUUAUGUGUGUGCGCACAACACUAUUUUUUGAUCUUGCGGCCAUAUUAGAAUACUUUUGCUCACCUACCGGCUAUCUAAUUAGAUUGUAUUUUAAUUUUUUUUUUCUAUUCUAUAAGCAGAACGAAUCAGGUGUUGGAAAAUGGAAAUAUUCUCGCCAUUAUAUCCUUCCGAUUGAUAUUCAAAUUUUAUUCUUAUACGAGUAUCACCUAAUAUUGUACUAGUCUACGACUGUUGCAUACUUGCAUGUAAGAAUUGCAAGUAAUGUUGGUGGUGGUUAUGUAUAGUUGCAUAAUUUUUGUCUAAAUGCAUUAGACUCCCGGUGGUUUGGUCGUCUCUAGUUCCAUUACAUUUUUUUUUUUGCAAAAAUAAAUAAUAAAAUUUAUUGAUAACAAGUCAUGGCACAAGAAAUGUUCUGGACAACCAUAACACAAGAUACAAACCAGUAUUACUGCUCAAAACAUGUCAUUCUAAAAGAUACAUAAGAAACUAAAGUUAUAUAGUGAUGCAUUUGUUUAAAACUCCUCAUUCAAGGGACCAAGACACAAUACAUCCUAUGUGUAUCCUUAUCCUUAUUAUCUAACCAUUCUUAACAUUCCAAACCUAAUUUGCAAACUCUAACCCUAAAAAAUUGGUGACAAUGUUGCCUUAAUGAUUGUCAUUAGUGUUCCAACCACCUAUCUCACAUUACAACACAAAUUUGAAUUUCAACAAUGCAUUAAGUAUAUUUUUUUCCCAAUAAAUUAGUUUGUAAUUAAUGACAUGGUAGAAAUGUUUAUUUUCCAUAAACAUCCAGCUAUUGAAUGACUUUACAGCUUCCCUAGAUACAAACUCAUAAUAAUAAGAUAUGUAUUUUUGAAGCGGGUGUUACAAAAUUUAUGCUGAAGUCAUUCUCCUUCAUUGAACCUGUUGUUCGACCAAACAUGGAAGAGACACCAAAAGCGUAUGAAAUAAAAAAGAAGACGACCAAAAAUUGCAUACUAUAACUAGUAUGUUUGGCACAUCCUAUGACACUUGGUUUUCUUCAUAUUCUUUGUUGUUUUUGUUUGGAACCAGUACCGCGAUUUAAACAUUAAGGAUGAAUGUUAUUAAAAAGUGCAUUUAUCUUCUCUUGAAUUAAUUUGAUACAUAAUUUGAUUGUUUACACGUGAGUUAGAAUCAUGUAGGUCGGUUGUUAUCGAUUUUAGGC
rnacentral:lncRNA from 1 species